UUAAAUAGUUGGCAUCAGCAGGGUCCCCUCUGCCAGGGAGCUGGGUCAAGCUGCAGGUGGUGCCUUCAUUAACCUCAUUUCUAUAAAAAGGCCAGGAAGAGGCAAAGGGAGCCGGGAGGGAGCACAGGUGGGAAGGAGCUGUGCCAGUUACCAUUUUCAGCAGGGCUGCGGUGGGCUGCGGUCUGUGUCAGGGUGACACACGGUGCUGGCAGGCAGCUUGGAUCAUCCUGAGAGACCAACCCAGCCCAGUUCCACCCCCUCGGGGCUGCUGGUGUAACUCCUGCAGAUCUCACUUGUG